rnacentral:rRNA from 1 species
CAGCUGUAAACGAUGCAGGCUAGGUGUUUGGACGGCCACGUGCCGUUCUAGUGCCGCAGGGAAGCUGUUAAGCCUGCCGCCUGGGGGAGUACGAUCGCAAGAUUGAAACUUAAAGGAAUUGGCGGGGGAGCACCACAAGGGGUGAAGCUUGCGGUUUAAUUGGAGUCAACGCCGGAAAUCUCACCGGGAGCGACAGCAGUGUGAAGGCCAGAUUAAAGGUCUUGCCAGACGAGCUGAGAGGAGGUGCAUGGCGUAGACGUCU